UAGUUGUAGACCCGAAACCAGGUGAUCUACCCAUGUCCAGGGUGAAGGUAAGGUAACACUUACUGGAGGCCCGAACCCACGCACGUUGAAAAGUGCGGGGAUGAGGUGUGGGUAGCGGAGAAAUUCCAAUCGAACCUGGAGAUAGCUGGUUCUCUCCGAAAUAGCUUUAGGGCUAGCCUCAAGAUAGAGAAUCCUGGAGGUAGAGCACUGUUUGGACUAGGGGCCCAUCCCGGGUUACCGAAUUCAGACAAACUCCGAAUGCCAGUGAUUUAUGCUUGGGAGUCAGACUGCGAGUGAUAAG
rnacentral:rRNA from 1 species